GACGAACGCUGGCGGCGUGCUUAACACAUGCAAGUCGAACGCUGAAGCUCAGCUUUUGUUGGGUGGAUGAGUGGCGAACGGGUGAGUAACACGUGAGUAACCUGCCUCCUUCUUUGGGAUAACGCCCGGAAACGGGUGCUAAUACUGGAUAUUCACUGGUCUUCGCAUGGGGGUUGGUGGAAAGGGUUUUUCUGGUGGGGGAUGGGCUCGCGGCCUAUCAGCUUGUUGGUGGGGUGAUGGCCGACCAAGGCUUUGACGGGUAGCCGGCCUGAGAGGGUGACCGGUCACAUUGGGACUGAGAUACGGCCCAGACUCCUACGGGAGGCAGCAGUGGGGAAUAUUGCACAAUGGGCGCAAGCCUGAUGCAGCGACGCCGCGUGAGGGAUGGAGGCCUUCGGGUUGUGAACCUCUUUCGCUCAUGGUCAAGCCGCAACAAUGGUUGUGGUGAGGGUAGUGGGUAAAGAAGCGCCGGCUAACUACGUG
rnacentral:rRNA from 1 species